CCUACGGGAGGCAGCAGUGGGGAAUAUUGGACAAUGGGCGAAAGCCUGAUCCAGCCAUGCCGCGUGUGUGAAGAAGGCCUUCGGGUUGUAAAGCACUUUCAGUGGGGAAGAAAGCCUUGGGGCUAAUACCCUCGAGGAAGGACAUCACCCACAGAAGAAGCACCGGCUAACUCCGUGCCAGCAGCCGCGGUAAUACGGAGGGUGCGAGCGUUAAUCGGAAUUACUGGGCGUAAAGCGCGCGUAGGCGGUCUGAUAAGCCGGUUGUGAAAGCCCCGGGCUCAACCUGGGAACGGCAUCCGGAACUGUCAGGCUAGAGUGCAGGAGAGGAAGGUAGAAUUCCCGGUGUAGCGGUGAAAUGCGUAGAGAUCGGGAGGAAUACCAGUGGCGAAGGCGGCCUUCUGGACUGACACUGACGCUGAGGUGCGAAAGCGUGGGUAGCAAACAGGAUUACAUACCCCAGUAGUC
rnacentral:rRNA from 1 species